UAGGGUGCAAGCGUUAUCCGGAUUUACUGGGUGUAAAGGGCGAGUAGACGGCGAUGCAAGUCAGAUGUGAAAUGCUAGGGCUUAACCUUAGAACUGCAUCUGAAACUGUAUUGCUAGAGUGCAGGAGAGGUAAACGGAAUUCCUAGUGUAGCGGUGAAAUGCGUAGAUAUUAGGAGGAACAUCAGUGGCGAAGGCGGUUUACUGGACUGUAACUGACGCUGAGGCACGAAAGCGUGGGGAUCG
rnacentral:rRNA from 1 species